CGCAGUGACAGACGCCAGCAAAGCGGUCGCCAGGAGGGACUCACCGAGGCGCAGGGGCUGGAGGUGGUGCUGGGGUGAUCCAGAUGAGUGAAUCAGCAUCUCCAGAGGAACACACAUCAGCUCAGGAAAAUGGGCAUGAAGACAAAGAAUGGCAGUCAGAAGUAACUGAAGUAGAAGAGCCUAUUGAGAGUUCACAGAGUGUACAAGACAUUUCUGUACUGGAUAGUGGGAGCAAUGGGGAAGAAGAUGAAACAGAUGAAAUCCAGUCCCAAGAGCAUAAUCCCUUCCAGCUCUAUCCAUGGUGCUGCAAAG